GUGAAUGUUAGUUUAGUAUGAGCAUAUUUUUCUGUGAGUCGGUUGUCGGUAACUGGUGGUAAUUAUCCAGCCAAAAACGAUAACUAAAAGGAAGGUCACAUAUGAUUGUGAUUUAUAAAUACUUUACUACCACCCAAUUGCAGUAACGGUGCGCAUGGCCGUCUAAUGUUUGUGGAAAUUACUGUGCAGAAAGGAUAUUUUAUAUUUCGCGUUGUAGGACGUAAAAAUUCAAUAUUCGCGAUGUCUCUGCUUUUAUUUUUCCCUAACUACAGGAUUUCACUUGCUUUAAUGGGCGCGGGAAACAAAUUAAAGGUAUUGCGCUAAUAAAUGUUCAUCUAUAAUAUGAAUAACUACACAUGAGUAACAUACAAUGCCAAAUUUUCUGUCAAGUACAUAUUCGAAAGUACGUGUUACGUAAUGAUACAUUGCAUCGCUGCAUCGUGGAGUUAGUCUACUCUCAAUCAUAUUUCGUGAGUGUUAGCUUAUUUGAUGCAGUCAUAAAAAUAAUCUUUACAUUCAAAUUAACUUUGAAUAAAAAAUAUAUUUAAAUAAAAGGGGCAUACUCUUUUUUCUUAAGAACAAAUACAUAUGAAUUUAGUUAUCGUGCGUAAAUUCAACAACAAAAAUAUAAUUUACCACAAUGAAUAGGACAGAGUGUGAAAAUAUGGCAGCAUCACUGAGAUGGUCAGAUCCAGCGAAUAUAAUAUCGUUAGCUAUACUUCUAUUUAUCAUACUCUUAGUAAUUUCCGGAAAUU